rnacentral:misc_RNA from 1 species
UCAUUUUUGGGAUUGCCUUGGCUUUUGGUUGCUUGCUUGGUCAUUGUACCAUGCGGGUGGCUACUAGUCGGGUGGUUUCGGGGAGUGUUUACCGUAAAGGUGCAUGAGUGGUGUUUGGUUUGUUACGGGUGGUUGGAUGUCUUCUAGCGAAGCAACUUCCAUGCGUGCUUACCUCUUCAUUUAUGUGGCAAGNCUUGUUUUGUCUUGCUCGUAUUGGGGGUUUCCUGUGUUGCGUACCUAAUCGAAGGCAUUGUUUGGACCGAUCGAAGCCGUUUUCNCCAUGCAUCACAAUUGUGGUGUGUGACGGACUAGGAAGUGGUCUUUGUAAUCCAUCUCGUGUUGUUAUCACUUCGACGAUGUGGCUUGCUGAGUUCUGCUUGGUCUCUUGGAUACUGAACCUGAUGUGGGCAUGGGAUCCUAAUCAAUCCUUUUUUGCCCUCGUUUAGCGUUCUCGCUUCUCUAAAACGAUCACUCGUCGUGCGUUGGCUUGUCCAUGCAUGACGGGUUGCGUCGAAGAGGAAUGCUACCUGGUUGAUCCUGCCAGUAGUCAUAUGCUUGUCUCAA